CUGCCCUUAGGUUAAGGAUAGCCUCGGGAAACUGAGGGUAAUACUUAAUAGGAGAUUUACCCUGGAACGAUUUAUCUCUAAAAUUCGUGCCUAAGGAUGAGACUGCGGCGGAUUAGGUAGUUGGCGGGGUAAUAGCCCACCAAGCCGAAGAUCCGUAAGGGCUCUUAGCGGAGAAGCCCUGAGAGGGAAUCUGAGACACUAUUCCCAGCCCUACGGGGUGCAGCAGGUAGGAAUCUUUUGCAAUGCGCGAAAGCGUGACAAAGCGAGCCAGAGUGUUUUUCUAUUGAAAAACUUUUGCCAAAUGUAAAAAAUUUGGCGAAUAAGGACUGGGUAAGACGGGUGCCAGCCGCCGCGGUAAUCCCCGCGGUCCAAGUCGCAGCCAUCAUUAUUGGGUAUAAAACAUCCGUAGCUUGUUUGGUAAGUUUCCUGUGAAAUCUUGUCUCUUAAGGGCAAGGCGUGCGGGAAGUACUGCUAAACUAGAGACUGGAAGACGCAAGAAGUACGUUCGAAGUAGCGGUAAAAUGUUUUAAUCUCGGACGGACUCACAACAGCGAAGGCAUCUUGCGAGGACAGUUCUGACAGUGAGGGAUGAAGGCUAGGGGCGCAAAAGGGAUUAGAUACCCCUGUAGUCCUAGCAGUAAACACUGUACACUAAACAUUAGUACCUCCUCGAGAGGUAUUAGUGCUGGAGAGAAGUCGAAGAGUGUACUACCUGGGAAGUAUAGCCGCAAGGCCGAAACUUAAAGGAAUU
rnacentral:rRNA from 1 species